AUGAACGCUGGCGGCGUGCCUAAUACAUGCAAGUCGAGCGAACGGACGAGAAGCUUGCUUUUCUGAUGUUAGCGGCGGACGGGUGAGUAACACGUGGAUAACCUACCUAUAAGACUGGGAUAACUUCGGGAAACCGGAGCUAAUACCGGAUAAUAUUUUGAACCGCAUGGUUCAAAAGUGAAAGACGGUCUUGCUGUCACUUAUAGAUGGAUCCGCGCUGCAUUAGCUAGUUGGUUAGGUAACGGCUUACCAAGGCAACGAUGCAUAGCCGACCUGAGAGGGUGAUCGGCCACACUGGAACUGAGACACGGUCCAGACUCCUACGGGAGGCAGCAGUAGGGAAUCUUCCGCAAUGGGCGAAAGCCUGACGGAGCAACGCCGCGUGAGUGAUGAAGGUCUUCGGAUCGUAAAACUCUGUUAUUAGGGAAGAACAUAUGUGUAAGUAACUGUGCACAUCUUGACGGUACCUAAUCAGAAAGCCACGGCUAACUACGUG
rnacentral:rRNA from 1 species